AGUAACACGUAGGUAACCUGCCCAUGUGCCCGGGAUAACUUCUGGAAACGGAUGCUAAAAACCGGAAUAGGCAGCAGACAAGCAUUUGACUGCUAUUAAAGUGGCUAAGGCCAUGAACAUGGAUGGACCUGCGGUGCAUUAGCUAGUUGGUGAGGUAACGGCCCACCAAGGCAACGAUCGGUAGCCGGACUGAGAGGUUGAACGGCCACAUUGGGACUGAGACACGGCCCAGACUCCUACGGGAGGCAGCAUG
rnacentral:rRNA from 1 species